GCUGGCUGCGCUGUCGAGGAGCGCGCGGGGGAUGUUUGAAGGCGCAGUCAUGGAGCCGCUGCAGCGGGAACUGGGCGUGGUGGCCGAGGCCGAGCCGCCGGCCGAGCCAGAGGCGAAACUGGACGUCUUCAUGCUGUUCCGGUCAAGAAAGCUACCCUGAUCAUGCCAUUGAAGAAAAGCUUAUCAAGAGUCUGAUCUUGGAAACUAUGAAACACAUAAUACUGCUCAGCACUGCAAUACUUGAAUCUCAGCAGGUAAAUGUCAGUUGUAGCUUGUUGUGCAGGUCUGCCAACCUCAAUACGGGCAGGGGCAUGGUUUGAAAGUAACAGGAAUGUGCAAGUCAUUUGAAGCUGAAUAUGUGGCCAAAGGGUGUGUUUUCUACUGGUGUUAAAAUUAUUGAAAUGAUUACUUAAACUGAAUAUGUAAGAAAGUCUGGUUCUAGAGCUGCCCUUAACUGCUUUUGUGGAUUGAAUUAGCAUCUAUCAAUAUUUAUUGGAGACAGGAGUCUAGGAAAGUACUUUUUUUUUUUUCUUUCAGCAAGCACAUGAGAUGGAACAGAAAUUGAAUGACAUUAAAAGGAAAAUACUCUGUGUGUUAGUUAUAUUGACUUUGUUUUAUAUUUGAACGUACAGUUCCUAUUUUAAAGUGCUUCUUGUAGCAAUAUUAAUUUACAUCUGAAGUAACUACAAAACUCUCAAUACAGUUAUAAAACUUCUGAAAAGAGUAUGAAGUACUGUAAAAAUGAGCUGGUGUGUUGUCUACAUGAGCAUGAGACUGACACGUUAGAACGAGAGAUGCAAGAAGAUACUCAAAAGGAAUGUGGUGAUGUUUUAUUAUUCAGUGUAAGCUCCCCAGCAAAUUACACCUCAUUUAGUAAUUUAAAUCAGUCCUACAACACCUAAAGGAUUUUUUUGUCAGAUUGCACCUUUGUGAAAUGUUUAUAGAAUAGAGGAGGGGAUUUAAUUACAAAGAACUUGUGUAAUAAUAUAUAUGUUGGUAUCUAGUAUGCUUAUUAGAGUGGGUCAAAUUUAGAUUUGAAGUCACUCUUCAGAAUUUAAGGUAAAUAUGUUUUUUGAAUGCUCCUACUGCCAUAUGGCCAGGUUUGCCAACAGUUUUAACAACUGUUAAAUGUUUGUUUCAUGCAUAGGAAGUGGUGUAUAUGUUGACAGUAAUGAACAAGCACAAUGAAAUAUUUGUCUUUAUAGGAAAAAUGAGCACCCUAACAUCUUCAGAAAUAAGGGAAGGAAUGCUGUGUCAGCAUUCUUUCAAUGUAUGAACUGUCCCUAAAUGUUUUUAUUCAGUCUAGUUUUUAGCCUGUUUUCCUAUUAAAACUAGUAAUAUUCACUGGCAUUGUCCAUAUGUCCCUUGUAUGACUUUGGAACUUGCUUUCAAUCAAAUUUUAAAAAGGGGAAAAAGGUCUUAAACAUCUCUGACUAUAAUAGUUGUGACAACCAAAGAUGGGAUGUAGGAGAGAUGUUCAAAUUACUGUCCGUGUCUGUUGGAAAUGCAGACAGCAUACAAAAUACUUUGUUUUGCUAGCAGCCAGGGAACUAGUCGAUGUGCUGUGGCUACCUGGUAUCAAUGUACGUGUUGUCUCUUGUGUGAAAGGAAUAUCUUGAGGUAUAUCGGAGGAAAGGGAUGGAGUGAGAAGUUAGGGUUAUUGCAAUGGAAGUGCUUUAGAUGUCUGUGAAGAAAAAGCAUGUCUUUGGUUCUACUGUUCACUGAACUACUUCUUAAUGCUUUGUUUUCCUGAUAAUGGAACAGUACUAAAACAAGCUGGACGACAGAAACUACUGCAAAUUCAUACCAUGAUAAAAAAAAAAAAAAAAAAGGAGGAACUAGUGAGCAUGGAAGUAGAUGAAAUGCUAGAGAAGAUACGUAAUAACUUAGAGAGAUGACUACAUGAAUUCAAAAUGUAUUUUAGGUAAUGUGUCCAUAGCUUUCAGAAGCAAGUUUGCAGUUUUGCAUUACAGUUGAGAUAACAUACUGUGUAGUAAAAGUAACUUCAAACAAAAUUGUGUUUUCUAAAAACUUUAAGUGAUGAUGGUAAUGAAAAAACUGCUGUAUGAAAAGCAAACUUUAUUGUUUUAAAGGCUAAAAGUAUGAAAUCAUCACAGACUUCUUUUGGAAUAAUUAUUUAUUGAGUUUAGAAACAGUCUAUCAAUCUAUUUAUUUGUUGCCUUAAAGGUACAAAAAUAAUGCAUCUUCUAGGAGAAUGUCUGUCACAGCAGUGGCUAUAUUUCCUUACACUGAGAGUCACCCCUACAUCCCUCAAAUCAGUUUCCCAAUCUCAUGGUUAGGAAAAAUAAGUAGGUCUUAAUCCCAUGAUACCAGUGAGCCAGACUGCUCCUUCUGACCACAUGCACUUCUCUCUGUCACCUACUGCAGUGUUGUGAGAGCCUUUGCCUGCGGCCAAGGCCAGUCUCCAAAAAUGUUCAGCAGUGUAGCCUUCACCCUCUUGGUUACCCAUGUAUCAGAUGCUGCUGACUAGUCUGUAUCCAUGCAGCUGGCUAGCAGGUCAUCUGGAGUUUGGGGUCACACAAAGUGAGGAAGAAAACCUCAUGAUUUGGAAUGGGGAGGAAGGGCCUCCUGCAGCAUCCUGUGCUCAGAGGGGCUUUACUAAAGAUCACGUACACUGUGCUGCAGUCUGGUACUCUGCCUCUCACUGUGUGACUUGUCCUGGCUUUCUUCGCUUGACCCCACAGAUCAGUGACUUAAGUACAAAGAUGGGAGGCACAGUGAAUGGCAAUUGCAGUGCUUGUGAAUGGGUUUAUGAAAUCCCAGUUAAGUAUACACAAAGUUUAUUAAAAAAACUUAGGCUGGGGAAAAGAGAGAAUAUAUUGGAGGGCUUCAGGUAGAAGACAGGAUAUUAACUGUUCUCUGAAUUUGGAUGAUCAGAAGAAUUUCAAGGACAGAAAGAGCCACAUGAUUGUGUUGCAUACUUUAUCUACUACUAGUUUGCAUUGAUAAUAAUGUUACAUCUCAAUUCGAGAAAUUAAACAUUUUAGGUUUUGGAUUAGAUUCCUGGAAUUACCUUCUGUUUUGUAUUCCUGAAGUCUUCUGAGCUAAUAUCAUAAUCGGAAGCAGAGUUAACUGGGCAGAAGAUCCAUCUUUAAAGGCAGUUGUUCUACAGCUUGAAAAAAAAAGUCUCUUUUCUGUGAGUCAGGAGAAAUGAUGUUUAAUUUUAUACAGUGUAUGUAAUCAAUAUACUAAACUUGAUAUAGCUUAAUAUGCAUCACUUAAGAAUUUGAAAAUUUAACCUUUCUGGAAGUUGUUCUUUCUAGAGACUCAGAAUGUGACCAUGCAACUCUUAGAAGUGAAAUUUAAUUCCUGGUACACAACAAAUGUUCAGACAGGUAGCAUAGCUGAUAAAACUAACUGAAGAGCCACUUCAUAGCUGUCCUGUCCCAAGAGCUCAUUUCCCUCUGAAAGGCAGCAAUAACACAAGAAAGAAUAAUAAUCUAUGUAUUUCGAGCUUUUAUGUAAAAGUGGGCUUAAACCAAGGCUCUACAAUUUCUGUCCUACCUUCUGGGAGGGAUAAGUACCCCAGCACAGCUCUUCCUCUAGGCACCAGCAAGCCCUGGGGAGGAGGCUGCAGAGCUCAGACAGGAUCCAUGACCCUGCUCUGCCCCUGUAGAAAGCCCAAACUGGAAAACUUAACUAAGUCGGUAUUUGGUUUUUGCCUAUUUUUUUUUUUUUUUAAUUAAAGCAUUAUGUAUAAUUUUAAACACCAAAAAGUUUAUACUCUUAAUUGUAACUAUCACUUGUGCCUGUGCUAUAUGAUGAUUAGUUAAGCAAAGCAUCCAGGAAUAGAUGCAACCUGUAGAUGCUGUCCCACAUGGCAAAAUAUGACAACCCUAGAGAAAAUGUAGGUAAAAUGGAAGAGGUGACUUCAUCUUGUUAACUAUGUGGCUAAGCAGUAUUUUAAAUGUAUUUUUACAUUGACAGUUGCAUUGCACCUUCAUGUUUGAAGAAAAUUGAGUAAAUCGUAGUGUGUAAUUGUAUUGGGUUUGUGUGGCAAGGUUUUGAUAUAGCGGGGGGGCUACAGGGGUGGCUUCUGUGAGAAGAUGCUAGAAGCUUCCCCCAUGUCCAAUAGAGCCAGUGCCAGCCAGCUCCAAGAUGGACCUGCUGCUGGCCAAAGAUGAGCCAAUCAGCGAUGGUGGUAGCGCCUCUGAUAACAUAUUUAUAUUUAAGAAGGAGAAAAAGUUGCUGCGCAACAAGAAACUGCAGCCAGAGAGAGGAGUGAGAAUAUGAGACAACUCUGCAGACACUAAGGUCAGUGAAGAAGGAAGGGGAGGAGGUGCUCCAGGCACCAAAGCAGAGAUUCCCCUGCAGCCCCUGGUGAAGACCAUGGUGAGGCAGGCUGUCCCCCUGCAGCCCAGGGAGGUCCACGGUGGAGCAGAUAUCCACCUGCAGCCCAUGGAGGACCCCACACUGGAGCAGGUGGAUGUGCCCGAAGGAAGCUGUGACCCUGUGGAGAGGAGCCCAUGCUGGAGCAGGUUUGCUGGCAGGACUUGUGACCCUGUGAAAAGGACCCACGCUGGAGCAGUUUGUAAAGAACUGCAGCCUGUGGGAAGGACCCACGUUGGAGAAGUUUGUGGAGGACUAUCUCCCAUGGGUCAGACCCCAUGCUGGAGCAGGGGAAGGGUGUGAGGAGGAAGGAGUGGUAGAGGUGUGGUGAACUGACCACAACCCCCCCAUUCCCUGUCCCCCUGUGCUGCUGGGGGGGAGAAGGUAGAGAAAAUCGGGAGUAAAGUUGAGCCCAGGAAUGAGGGAGGGGUGAGGGGAAGGUGUUUUUAGAUUUGGUUUUAUUUCUCAUUACCCUACUCUGAUUUGAUUGAUAAUAAAUUAAGUUAAUUUUCCCUAAGUCAAGUCUGUUUUGCCCGUGACGGUAAUUGCUGAGUGAUCUACCUGUCCUUAUCUCGCC